CAGUAGCCGCGGGAAUACGUAGGGUGCGAGCGUUAAUCGGAAUUACUGGGCGUAAAGCGUGCGUAGGCGGUUUGUUAAGUCUGUUGUGAAAUCCCCGGGCUCAACCUGGGAAUGGCAAUGGAUACUGGCAAGCUAGAGUGUGUCAGAGGAUGGUGGAAUUCCCGGUGUAGCGGUGAAAUGCGUAGAGAUCGGGAGGAACAUCAGUGGCGAAGGCGGCCAUCUGGGACAACACUGACGCUGAGGCACGAAAGCGUGGGGAGCAAACAGGAUUAGAUACCCCUGUAGUCCCUGUCUCUUAUAC
rnacentral:rRNA from 1 species